CCUACGGGAGGCAGCAGUGGGGAAUUUUGGACAAUGGGCGCAAGCCUGAUCCAGCCAUGCCGCGUGCAGGAUGAAGGCCUUCGGGUUGUAAACUGCUUUUGUACGGAACGAAAAGGUCUGCCCUAAUACGGUGGGCCCAUGACGGUACCGUAAGAAUAAGCACCGGCUAACUACGUGCCAGCAGCCGCGGUAAUACGUAGGGUGCAAGCGUUAAUCGGAAUUACUGGGCGUAAAGCGUGCGCAGGCGGUAAUGUAAGACAGAUGUGAAAUCCCCGGGCUCAACCUGGGAACUGCAUUUGUGACUGCAUUGCUGGAGUGCGGCAGAGGGGGGAUGGAAUUCCGCGUGUAGCAGUGAAAUGCGUAGAUAUGCGGAGGAACACCGAUGGCGAAGGCAAUCCCCUGGGCCUGCACUGACGCUCAUGCACGAAAGCGUGGGGAGCAAACAGGAUUAGAUACCCUGGUAGUCCACGCCCUAAACGAUGUCAACUGGUUGUUGGGUCUUCAUUGACUCAGUAACGAAGCUAACGCGUGAAGUUGACCGCCUUGGGGAGUACGGCGCGAGUUAGACGACGAAGAGAGUUAGACGGCGNGAGACGNGCGACGGACGACGACGAGGGAGGUAGG
rnacentral:rRNA from 1 species